rnacentral:rRNA from 1 species
GUGAACGCUGGCGGCGUGCUUAACACAUGCAAGUCGAACGGUAGCAGGAACUAGCUUGCUACUUUGCUGACGAGUGGCGCACGGGUGAGUAAUCUAUAGUUAAUGUACCCCAAAGACUGGGAUAGCCAUUGGAAACGGUGAUUAAUACUAGAUACACCUUCUUAACAUAAGUUAAGACGGGAAAUGUCUUUUCGCUUCGGGAUCAGACUAUAUCCUAUCAGUUAGUUGGUGAGGUAAUGGCUCACCAAGGCAAUGACGGGUAGCGGUUCUGAGAGGAUGAUCCGCCACACUGGUACUGAGACACGGACCAGACUCCUACGGGAGGCAGCAGUGAGGAAUAUUGCACAAUGGGCGGAAGCCUGAUGCAGCAACGCCGCGUGGAGGAUGACGCAUUUCGGUGUGUAAACUCCUUUUAUAUGUCAAGAAAAUGACGGUAGCAUAUGAAUAAGCACCGGCUAACUCCGU